UACGUAGGGUGCAAGCGUUAAUCGGAUUUACUGGGCGUAAAGGGCGCGUAGGCGGUCGUGACAAGUCACUUGUGAAAUCUCCGGGCUUAACUCGGAACGGUCAAGUGAUACUGUCGGACUAGAGUACAGAAGGGGCAACUGGAAUUCUCGGUGUAGCGGUGAAAUGCGUAGAUAUCGAGAGGAACACCUGCGGCGAAGGCGGGUUGCUGGGCUGAUACUGACGCUGAGGCGCGAAAGCCAGGGGAGCGAACGGG
rnacentral:rRNA from 1 species